ACCUUUUAGGAAUACAACCCAAAAUUGCAACAAUACAAACCUUAAUGGCUUCUUCUAUCAUCAUCUCGUUAGUAGUUUUGAUAUCUCUUAGUUUUCCUUAUCAAACCAUAGCAGGUCGUCAUAUGUAUACACCACCAACACCAUCUUACUCGGAUCCACCAGUUUACGCGCCUUCCCCAACCCCAGAUUACGCGCCUUCCCCAACUCCAGAUUACGCGCCUGCCCCAACCCCGGAUUACGCGCCUGCUCCUACCCCAUAUUACGCGCCUGCCCCGACCCCAGAUUACGCGCCUGCUCCGACCCCAGAUUACGCGCCUGCUCCUGCCCCAGCUUACUAAGAACAGGUCACCACCACCACUUACCCACUUCAGUUUUCAUGUAUGGAUCACCUCCUCAUUAGCAUUGCAAAGUAUGUAGUUGAAUAAAUAAUGAUGCAUCUCAAUAUAGAGGUAUAUUAUAAGAAGAUGAACAUUUAGAGAUGUUUCAAUGCAUAAUUUUAUUUGUGAUUUAUGUGUAUGUAUUUGGUGUGUACGUAAUCUUGAGCCACUGAAGCUCUAUGUCGUCCAAUAAUUCCUAUAUUUUCUUUGGUUAAAAACUAUAGAUUCAUAUUUACAUUUUGUAAGAAUUUGAGUCAAGUUCAUAUUUGCUAUCUCAAGAAUAUAAAGUACAGUUUGGCUAAGUUUGCCUGUGUAAGUGGUGGUCCACAUUUGUCCUCACAAAACAUAAGUUUAGGGCUGUGUUAUUCCCUUGAAACGCUUCUCUCACACGGUUUUGAUUUUAUUUAUUGCAAAAGAAAACACCUUUCUCAAAUGCCUCUUCGCCGUCUUCAUCUUCUUCAAUUGUAUGCAUUAGAAACACCUUCACUUUUGAGGUGUAGUUCAUUGAUUGUUUCUUACCUUUCAAAUCAUCUUCAUCCAUUAACCUCCAUCCCAAGUGUAAGUAGUUGUAGGUGAAGAAUAGAAGAACAGUAGCGGAAACUUAAUCUUGAGUGAUCUAUUUCUCUAGGUCUGUGAUGGCUAGGUAAAUCUCUCUAUGUUUAAUUGUUUCAAUGAUCGGUCUCUUUUGAUUUUGUUAAUAAAAGGGGAAGAACUGUUUAGAUAAUGCCCUAAAAUACGUCCAUCUUCCAUUAGCUUUAGUUUCAGUUAAUUUUGUUAAAAAGUUUGGUUAAAGGGUUUCACUAAAAAUUUCUCUAAGAUGGGUUUUAUCAAAUCUUUGAGCAGGCCGUAAUGGGAUUUUGAUGGCUCAUUGUCAGAUCCAGUAUAAUUUUCAUAUUUUUUGUUUGGGUAAAGAUCAAAAGAACCCUCUGUUUGUGGUUAUCUCAUUUAGUUUUAGGUAUGUAGUUCAGUAAUUUGUGCCUCUUUCCAUUCUAUGAAUCCAUGAUUUCGGUUUUUUUUACUAAUUCCUUCUCACUAAUAAAAUCAAAAAUCUCUGUGAAAUAUUCAAAUUCACUUUGUGGGUUGUCCAUACUAAAGAACAAAGAUAUGUGGGGCGCAAAAAGGAAAUGGUUUCUUCGCAAAUCCCAGGUAUGCAUAAUAUACUAAUUUAUGAACUAGGGUAUUGUGUUUGUAUCAUUUUCAAUUUGUUUCUCUAUUACCAUUAUAUUUUCCAUGGUAUUCAUUGUUUGUGUCAGUAAUCCUUCGGGGUAAAAAGCUGGCAUAUAAUUGAAGUGAUCGAGAAUUUUUCUUGCAAUCAAAAUUGACACUCCACCUAAUGUAUUAGUCCUUCAAUAGUCUUAAUAUUUUCCUUCAUUAGUAGCAGAGAGAGAGAAACACGAUCGUAUGAUGAUGGAUUCUCAUCUUUCUCUCCUUAAAUUCUGAUUUUAUAGGUUAUUUGACUAGGGUUGUUAUCCAAUUUUAUAUUUUCCGAAUUAUAUUUUAACAAUUGAUUUGAUUUCAUCUCAGGAUGAAUUAUUUUUAUUUAGUAGUAGAAGCUGCAGGAAUGGAUUGACAUCAAAGACAAAGUCCUUACGUUCCUUUAUCUAAUAUCUACAACAGGUUGAAUUUUGAUUUUUGAGAAACUUUUGGAAGAUUAAUCUACCGCUUCAGUUAUGCAAAUGAAACUAACUGUUGCGCCCGCUCAUACUGUUAGAGCUUCUCCACGAGGAGCCCCUGGAUGCCGUUGGGAACUCUUGCUGUUCUAGCAGAGACAAAUUUUCCAUCUCUUAGUGAGUCUGGCCAUGUUCCCUCUGAUGGAGUUCCGAUCAGUAUUCGUGUUUUUUAUAUAACCAGUUGAACCCGAGGCUAUUUGAUGCACAUAGAGCCAGUGGAACCCGAGGCAGUUUGAUGCACUGGAAUGGAAGAAAACAAAUAUUUAUUGGAAAAUCCAUUGCUUCCUCCCUUCUUCCAUGCUCACAAUUUACCUUACGGAUUUAGUAUUUUGUUGUCAGGUGUCUAUUUUGUUUGAAAUUCCUAAUUCGUCUAGACAUGCAAUUCGUAUUUCCCUAUACUUGAUAUACAGUGAGGUUAUGGCAUGGCAUACUGACAAUUUGUAAAAUUUAUAAUUUGGGCCAAUGUUAUGAACCUCCAUCAAAAAGUACUUUUGUUUCGGUGCUUAUAUCUAGCUUUUUCCUU